GUCUUUGUUGUUUUCUUAUUGUCUCUGUUCUAUCACAUCUCUGCUGUUUUCAUAAUUUCUUUUUUUACUUUUCUAAUUUGUUAGGUUGUUCACCGUGUUCCCAACAACAACUUCUUGAUCUUCUAUUUCUCAAGCAACUUGUCAAGUUGAUUCGGCACAAGUUUAUUUAAAUAAAGCAUGCAGUGGCUUAUUGAAAUUUAAAAGGUUCAGGUGCUUCGUAUCAACAACAUGAGUAGUUCGAGCAUCUUUAUCUACGCUCCCACAGUUGGUGAGUCCUCAUGAUUCGAAGGCCUACUUCUUCAGAUUUCCAUCUUACAUAGUAUUUGAGUUAUCAUUUUCAGUUUAGACUGAGUCAGUUGGGGGUCUGCCCCCAUGUCUCUCUAGUUCUUUAUUAGUAGUAGAGGCUUGUCGGACUACGAGUUUAUUUAUAGACUUUCAAUAUUUUUUGUUCAGAAAUUAUGUACAGUUUAUUCAGUUUAGUUUUGGUAUAAUACAACAUUGUUUCUUGAUUA